GCUCCUGCUUCUGCCUUGUCCAUUGCAACUGAGAUCAAAGCCCUCAAGCAGAUAACUGGAGCUCACCCUGCCUGCUUGCAACCUGCUUGCCCUGUUUCCCUGUGCCUCAUGAGUCGGAAGGGAGAGAAUGUGCUAAAAUCGCUGCAGAAGGAAUUUGGUGUUGACUUUCGGAAGAAUUUCCUGCUAAUAAUAUUGAAGUGCUGGAGAACCUCACAGAAGGAGCUUCAGGGUUUCGUUCUAUCAGCAUCUCCUGAGCACCUUCUGGAGAUUUCCUGAUGAGAAAACAGAGGGAUGGGGGAUCCAAAAGUCACCAAGGCAAGAAGGUGGCAGACCAAGAAGAAGA
rnacentral:lncRNA from 1 species